rnacentral:rRNA from 1 species
UACGGAGGGUGGAAGCGUUGUUCGGGAUUACUAGGCGUAAAGCGCGUGUAGGGGGCCUCCUCAGUCUGGAGUGAAAGCCCGGGGCUUACCCCCGGAAGUGCAUUGGAUACUGGGGGGCUGGAGUACCGGAGAGGAGGGUGGAAUUCCUGGUGUAGCGGUGAAAUGCGUAGAUAUCAGGAGGAACACCGGUGGCGAAGGCGGCCCUCUGGACGGAUACUGACGCUGAGACGCGAAAGCGUGGGGAGCAAACAGG